CAGCCGCCGCGGGAAUACGUAGGUGGCAAGCGUUGUCCGGAAUUAUUGGGCGUAAAGCGCGCGCAGGCGGAUCAGUUAGUCUGUCUUAAAAGUUCGGGGCUUAACCCCGUGAUGGGAUGGAAACUGCUGAUCUAGAGUAUCGGAGAGGAAAGUGGAAUUCCUAGUGUAGCGGUGAAAUGCGUAGAUAUUAGGAAGAACACCAGUGGCGAAGGCGACUUUCUGGACGAAAACUGACGCUGAGGCGCGAAAGCCAGGGGAGCGAACGGGAUUAGAUACCGUGUAGUCCCUGUCUCUUAUACAC
rnacentral:rRNA from 1 species